rnacentral:rRNA from 1 species
AACGAACGCUGGCGGCAGGCCUAACACAUGCAAGUCGAGCGCCCCGCAAGGGGAGCGGCGGACGGGUUAGUAACGCGUGGGAAUGUACCCUUUUCUACGGAAUAGCCUCGGGAAACUGAGAUUAAUACCGUAUACGCCCGGUAACGGGGAAAGAUUUAUCGGAGAAGGAUCAGCCCGCGUAAGAUUAGAUAGUUGGUGGGGUAAUGGCCUACCAAGUCUACGAUCUUUAGCUGGUUUGAGAGGAUGAUCAGCAACACUGGGACUGAGACACGGCCCAGACUCCUACGGGAGGCAGCAGUGGGGGAAUCUUAGACAAUGGGCGCAAGCCUGAUCUAGCCAUGCCGCGUGAGUGAAGAAGGCCUUAGGGUCGUAAAGCUCUUUCAGUGGGGAAGAUAAUGACGGUACCCACAGAAGAAACCCCGGCUAACUACCGUG